GUCGCAGCGGUAUAGAGCGCUUGCUUCUCUUGAGAGCGGCGGACGGGUGAGUAAUGCCUAGGAAUCUGCCUGGUAGUGGGGGAUAACGUUCGGAAACGGACGCUAAUACCGCAUACGUCCUACGGGAGAAAGCAGGGGACCUUCGGGCCUUGCGCUAUCAGAUGAGCCUAGGUCGGAUUAGCUAGUUGUGGGGUAAUGGUCACCAAGGCGACGAUCCGUAACUGGUCUGAGGGAUGAUCAGUCACACUGGAACUGAGACACGGUCCAGACUCCUACGGGAGGCAGCAGUGGGGAAUAUUGGACAAUGGGCGAAAGCCUGAUCCAGCCAUGCCGCGUGUGUGAAGAAGGUCUUCGGAUUGUAAAGCACUUUAAGUUGGGAGGAAGGGCUGUAGAUUAAUCUCUGCUGUUUUGACGUUACCGACAGAAUAAGCACCGGCUAACUCUGUGCCAGCAGCCGCGGUAAUACAGAGGGUGCAAGCGUUAAU
rnacentral:rRNA from 2 species